rnacentral:miRNA from 1 species
UCAGAAGCCAUACUGCAG